AAUCUUGCGCAAUGGGGGAAACCCUGACGCAGCGACGCCGCGUGAGUGAUGAAGGCCUUCGGGUUGUAAAACUCUGUCCUCAGGGGAGAAAACAAUGACGGUACCUGAGGAGGAAGCCCCGGCUAACUACGUGCCAGCAGCCGCGGUAAUACGUAGGGGGCGAGCGUUGUCCGGAAUUAUUGGGCGUAAAGGGUGCGUAGGCGGCCUUUUAAGUCAGGUGUGAAAGACCACAGCUUAACUGUGGGGUUGCAUUUGAAACUAGAAGGCUUGAGUAUCGGAGAGGGUAGUGGAAUUCCUGGUGUAGCGGUGAAAUGCAUAGAUAUCAGGAGGAACACCAGUGGCGAAGGCGACUACCUGGACGAAAACUGACGCUGAGGCACGAAAGCUAGGGUAGCAAAC
rnacentral:rRNA from 1 species